CAUUUGGGCAGAAGAUCCUCCUCGGAUCAUCACUGGGUGAUGAGCCAGAGCACACAGCAGUGCUCACUGUGAACAAAGCUUUCCAUCUGCCUCUCACCUUCAGCUCCCUUUGAGCUCCUACUCUGUGAAAAUAAAGUAGAUGCUAAGCAGUGUUCAUCACUGGGGCCUAAACAUUCUGAGGCAUUUUCAGCAAUGGCAGGGGAAAAAAAAUAAUGGAACAACUUCAGGUGACACUCACAGUCCCUAAAAAUGCAAGUACCAACUGAGCUGGCCUUAUGUUAACAAUGUGUCUAAAGCACACUUAGCGGAGCGCAGCAGCAGCCUCGCCUCAAUGCCGCUCACCAAGUUUUGAGGCUCGCUCAAAGGAAGCCAGGAGGAGGAGGAGGAGGCCGCAGGAGGAAGUGCACAAUUGAGCCCCGCGCCGCGCUAAUCCCCCGCGCGUGUGACGACUUGUUCCAGCCCUUCUUCUCUCCCCUGGUGGAAUGACAUUAGGGCUUCUGGAUUUUAAUUAAGCAGGAGCUGCAAUUUCUCAUGCGCCAGCCAGAGGAAAUCUCUUCAGAUCGCCUGGAAAUAGCACACGAGUGGAAAUCGUGGGGCAAAGGCUGCGCUGUGCCUGGGGGGACUGUGCUAGUUUGAGCCUAGUUAGAAUGCUUUGGUGAGAGCAGUUAGCUUGCAGGCUGUGAAGAGGAAACAAUGCUGAUGUCUGCUGCACUCAUAGGCUUGCUGAGAUGGAUAAGAACGAGAACCCAAACAUGGAUAACAGAAUUGCUUUCUGGGCUUUGGCUGAACUCUCUCUCACCUAACCUGCCGUCUGUGUGACUAAUCCAUCUGCUUCCUAACCCCCCUGGCUGACCCUCCAAACUACCUUAAACAUAAGGCAAGA